rfam:Picea glauca, whole genome shotgun sequence.
AUGUACAUUCCUACAACGUAGCGUUAAUGCACCAGAUCCCAUUAGAACUCCGCAGUUAAGUGUGCUCAGGCUAGAGUAGUACUGGGAUGGGUGAUCGCCCUGGAAGUCCUAGUGUUUUAUAUG